AGGGUGAAGUCCCAAGAGUCUCCUGCAACAACGCUUGAAGUUUUCUUGUUGCUUCCUCAUCCACAAGGUGCUGGAGCCCAAUUCUGAGAUAGGAGUGGAAGAAAUAAAACUUAGACGGCAACAAGAAACAUGAACAGCUUCCUGUUAUUGGAGCCUUGAACACUUGGUGCCAGAAAACUACUCCUUCGCACUGGUCCACACGCUGACUUGUCCACAUCCUACUGGCCGACCGACCACUUUUUGUUUUAGGUCCACACUGAUUGUCCACUGGCCAACCACCACACGGCAACGAGCAGACUGCCAUCCAACUUGUAACUUGUUUAUGACUGAAUGUUUACUCUGCAAAAGAAAUAAAGCUUUAUUUGAAACAACACU